rnacentral:rRNA from 1 species
CGGGCUAGAGUAUGGCAGAGGGGGGUAGAAUUCCACGUGUAGCAGUGAAAUGCGUAGAGAUGUGGAGGAAUACCGAUGGCGAAGGCAGCCCCCUGGGCCAAUACUGACGCUCAUGCACGAAAGCGUGGGGAGCAAACAGGAUUAGAUACCCUGGUAGUCCACGCCCUAAACGAUGUCAACUAGUUGUCGGGUCUUCAUUGACUUGGUAACGUAGCUAACGCGUGAAGUUGACCGCCUGGGGAGUACGGUCGCAAGAUUAAAACUCAAAGGAAUUGACGGGGACCCGCACAAGCGGUGGAUGAUGUGGAUUAAUUCGAUGCAACGCGAAAAACCUUACCUACCCUUGACAUGUAUGGAAUCCUGCUGAGAGGUGGGAGUGCCCGAAAGGGAGCCAUAA